AGUGAACGCUGGCGGUAGGCCUAACACAUGCAAGUCGAACGGCAGCACAGUAAGAGCUUGCUCUUACGGGUGGCGAGUGGCGGACGGGUGAGGAAUACAUCGGAAUCUACUUUUUCGUGGGGGAUAACGCAGGGAAACUUACGCUAAUACCGCAUACGACCUACGGGUGAAAGCAGGGGAUCUUCGGACCUUGCGCGAUUGAAUGAGCCGAUGUCGGAUUAGCUAGUUGGCGGGGUAAAGGCCCACCAAGGCGACGAUCCGUAGCUGGUCUGAGAGGAUGAUCAGCCACACUGGAACUGAGACACGGUCCAGACUCCUACGGGAGGCAGCAGUGGGGAAAAUUGGACAAUGGGCGCAAGCCUGAUCCAGCCAUACCGCGUGGGUGAAGAAGGCCUUCGGGUUGUAAAGCCCUUUUGUUGGGAAAGAAAAGCAGCAGGUUAAUACCCCGCUGUUCUGACGGUACCCAAAGAAUAAGCACCGGCUAACUUCGUG
rnacentral:rRNA from 1 species